CCAGCAGCCGCGGUAAUACGUAGGGCGCAAGCGUUAUCCGGUAAUUAUUGGGCGUAAAGAGCUCGUAGGCGGUUUGUCGCGUCUGCCGUGAAAGUCCGGGGCUCAACUCCGGAUCUGCGGUGGGUACGGGCAGACUAGAGUGAUGUAGGGGAGACUGGAAUUCCUGGUGUAGCGGUGAAAUGCGCAGAUAUCAGGAGGAACACCGAUGGCGAAGGCAGGUCUCUGGGCAUUAACUGACGCUGAGGAGCGAAAGCAUGGGGAGCGAACAGGAUUAGAUACCCUGGUAGUCCAUGCCGUAAACGUUGGGCACUAGGUGUGGGGGACAUUCCACGUUUUCCGCGCCGUAGCUAACGCAUUAAGUGCCCCGCCUGGGGAGUACGGCCGCAAGGCUAAAACUCAAAGGAAUUGACGGGGGCCCGCACAAGCGGCGGAGCAUGCGGAUUAAUUCGAUGCAACGCGAAGAACCUUACCAAGGCUUGACAUGAACCGGACCGCUGCAGAAAUGUGGUUUCCCCUUUGGGGCUGGUUUACAGGUGGUGCAUGGUUGUCGUCAGCUCGUGUCGUGAGAUGUUGGGUUAAGUCCCGCAACGAGCGCAACCCUCGUUCUAUGUUGCCAGCACGUGAUGGUGGGGACUCAUAGGAGACUGCCGGGGUCAACUCGGAGGAAGGUGGGGACGACGUCAAAUCAUCAUGCCCCUUAUGUCUUGGGCUUCACGCAUGCUACAAUGGCCGGUACAAAGGGUUGCGAUACUGUGAGGUGGAGCUAAUCCCAAAAAGCCGGUCUCAGUUCGGAUUGGGGUCUGCAACUCGACCCCAUGAAGUCGGAGUCGCUAGUAAUCGCAGAUCAGCAACGCUGCGGUGAAUACGUUCCCGGGCCUUGUACACACCGCCCGUCAAGUCACGAAAGUUGGUAACACCCGAAGCCCGGUGGCCUAACCCCUUGUGGGAGGGAGCUGUCGAAGGUGGGACUGGCGAUUGGGACUAAGUCGUAACAAG
rnacentral:rRNA from 1 species